CCUACGGGGCGCAGCAGUGAGGAAUAUUGGUCAAUGGACGAGAGUCUGAACCAGCCAAGUAGCGUGAAGGAUGACUGCCCUAUGGGUUGUAAACUUCUUUUAUAUGGGAAUAAAACGUUCCACGUGUGGGAUUUUGUAUGUACCAUAUGAAUAAGGAUCGGCUAACUCCGUGCCAGCAGCCGCGGUAAUACGGAGGAUCCGAGCGUUAUCCGGGUUUAUUGGGUUUAAAGGGAGCGUAGGUGGAUUGUUAAGUCAGUUGUGAAAGUUUGCGGCUCAACCGUAAAAUUGCAGUUGAAACUGGCAGUCUUGAGUACAGUAGAGGUGGGCGGAAUGCGUGGUGUAGCGGUGAAAUGCUUAGAUAUCACGAAGAACUCCGAUUGCGAAGGCAGUUCACUGGACUGCAACUGACACUGAGGCUCGAAAGUGUGGGUAUCAAACAGGAUUAGAUACCCUGGUAGUC
rnacentral:rRNA from 1 species